CCUUUGUACACACCGCCUGUCGCUACUACCGAUUGAAUGGCUUAGUGAGAUCUCCGGAUUGGCAUUGAGGAGCCGGCAACGGCAUCUCUUGGCCGAGAAGUUGAUCAAACUUGGUCAUUUAGAGG
rnacentral:rRNA from 1 species